GACGAACGCUGGCGGCGUGCUUAACACAUGCAAGUCGAACGGUGAAGCGCCUUCCUUUUUGGUGGGUGUGGAUGAGUGGCGAACGGGUGAGUAACACGUGAGUAACCUGCCCCCUCCUUCUGGAUAACCGCAUGAAAGUGUGGCUAAUACGGGAUAUUCUGGGUCUGUCGCAUGAUGGGUCUGGGAAAGAUUUUGUUUCGGUGGGGGAUGGGCUCGCGGCCUAUCAGCUUGUUGGCGGGGUGAUGGCCUACCAAGGCGGCGACGGGUAGCCGGCCUGAGAGGGAGGACGGUCACAAAGGAACUGAGCCACGGACCAGACUGCAAGGGGAUGCAGCAGGGAGGAGUAUGGCACAAUGGGGGCAAGCCUGAGGCAGCGACGCCGCGGGAGGGAUGGAGGCCUUCGGGUUGUAAACCUCUUUCACCAGUGAAGCAGGCCUGCAUCGUGUAUGGGUGGGUUGACGGUAGCUGGAUAAGAAGCGCCGGCUAACUACGUG
rnacentral:rRNA from 1 species